UAGUAAUAAAACUAUUUUAAAUAAUGAUUGAAUAAUUUUACUGAUUAUGGUAAAUAUUAGAUUAACACUUUAAAUAUAUAAGUUGUGCAUUCAAUAUUUGGAAUAGUUUAUUUAUGGAUUAACUGCAGAACCAAUCCAAUGUGGUACUUGCCAAGAUAUGAGCAAAAGUACCAAAUCUAUGAAACAGCAUAGCAGUGAACUGAAUGACUAGAAUUAAUGCAAAAAAGAACACGAACACCAGACCAAUAGGUUCAAGUUGCAAGUAUUCUUUGGUAACGUGUACCUGAAAUAUUAAAAUAUUAUUAAUGUUAUUAAUAUUUAGUAUAAAAUAAUAUAUAAUAAGUAAUACGAAUAUUCAUGCUCGCAUGUGCAUUGCAUGCGUUUGUGCGUAAGUAUUCGUUUUAU
rnacentral:lncRNA from 1 species